UACGUAGGGGGCGAGCGUUGUCCGGAUUCAUUGGGCGUAAAGCGCGCGUAGGCGGCUUCGUAAGUCGGCCGUGAAAUCUCCAGGCUUAACUUGGAGGGGUCGGGCGAGACUGCGGAGCUCGAGGUGGGCAGAGGGCAGUGGAAUUCCGGGUGUAGUGGUGGAAUGCGUAGAGAUCCGGAGGAACACCAGUGGCGAAGGCGGCUGCCUGGGCCCGGCCUGACGCUGAGGCGCGAAAGCGUGGGGAGCGAUCCGG
rnacentral:rRNA from 1 species